UGGGAAUUUGGACAAUGGGCAACCGUGAUCAGCAAUGCCGCGUGUGUGAAGAAGGCCUUCGGGUUGUAAAGCACUUUUGUCCGGAAAGAAAACGUCGUGGUUAAUACCCGUGGCGGCUGACGGUACCGGAAGAAUAAGCACCGGCUAACUACGUGCCAGCAGCCGCGGUAAUACGUAGGGUGCAAGCGUUAAUCGGAAUUACUGGGCGUAAAGCGUGCGCAGGCGGUCCGCUAAGACAGAUGUGAAAUCCCCGGGCUUAACCUGGGAACUGCAUUUGUGACUGGCGGGCUAGAGUAUGGCAGAGGGGGGUAGAAUUCCACGUGUAGCAGUGAAAUGCGUAGAGAUGUGGAGGAAUACCGAUGGCGAAGGCAGCCCCCUGGGCCAAUACUGACGCUCAUGCACGAAAGCGU
rnacentral:rRNA from 1 species